CCGGGUCCAUCAUAGGUAGAACUGGGUCCCGUAGAAGAGGAAUUGAAUUGUGUUGGAGAGGGGCCCGGUGGCUCUGUAGUGGUACUAGAUGAUACGGUGGAGGCACUGGAUUGUACUGUAGUGGUGUCAGAUAGUAUGGUAGAGGAGCAAGAUUGUAUCGUGGUGGCUUUGGAUCUUUUUGCUGCAAGGGUGGCUCAAAUUGUGGUAGCGGGGGAGGGUCAGACAGCUCCCUCCUCUCCUCUUGGGC
rnacentral:lncRNA from 1 species